rnacentral:rRNA from 1 species
GACGAACCGUGCGAACGUUAUUCGGAUUCACUGGGCUUAAAGGGCGCGUAGGCGGACGAGCAAGUCCGGGGUGAAAUCUUUCGGCUCAACCGGAAAAGUGCCUUGGAUACUGCUCGCCUUGAGGGAGGUAGGGGCAUGUGGAACUUCCGGUGGAGCGGUGAAAUGCGUUGAUAUCGGAAGGAACGCCGGUGGCGAAAGCGGGUCUCUGGACAGUUCCUGACGCUGAGGCACGAAGGCCAGGGGAGCAAACGGG